UCAAACUUGGUCAUUUAGAGGAAGUAAAAGUCGUAACAAGGUUUCCGUAGGUGAACCUGCGGAAGGAUCAUUACCGAGUGAGGGCCCUCCGGGUCCAACCUCCCACCCGUGUCUACCGAACCCGGUUGCUUCGGCGGGCCUGCCGUCCAGGCUGUCCGGGGGCUCCCGCCCCCGGGCCCGCGCCCGCCGGAGACCCCAAUCGAACGCUGCCUGAAGGAUGCAGUCUGAGCUUUAAGCACAAUCAGUUAAAACUUUCAACAACGGAUCUCUUGGUUCCGGCAUCGAUGAAGAACGCAGC
rnacentral:misc_RNA from 1 species